rnacentral:rRNA from 1 species
GACGAACGCUGGCGGCGUGCUUAACACAUGCAAGUCGAACGGAAAGGCCCUGCUUUUGUUGGGUUCUCGAGUGGCGAACGGGUGAGUAACACGUGAGUAACCUGCCCUUGACUUUGUGAUAACUUCAGGAAACUGGGGCUAAUACCGGAUAGGAGCUCCUGCUGCAUGGUGGGGGUUGGAAAGUUUCGGCGGUUGGGUAUGGACUCGCGGCUUAUCAGCUUGUUGGUGGGGUAGUGGCUUACCAAGGCUUUGACGGGUAGCCGGCCUGAGAGGGUGACCGGCGAAAAUGGGACUGAGAGACGGCGCAGACGGGUACGGGAGGCAGCAGGGGGGAAUAUUGCACAAUGGGCGGAGGCGUGAUGAAGAAAAGGGGGGUGCGGGAUGACGGCCUUCGGGGUGUAAACAGAUGUAGAAUGAGACGAAGAGUGAGUGACGGUAAUGGGUAAAGAAGCACCGGCUAACUACGUG